rnacentral:rRNA from 1 species
UGGUGGAUGCCUUGGCGUAUGGAGGCGAUGAAGGACGUGUUAGGCUGCGAUAAGCCCGGAGGAGCUGCCAAAGAGCUUUGAUCCCGGGAUGUCCGAAUGGGGAAACCCACCCCUUUAGGGGUACCGGCAUCUGAAUACAUAGGAUGUCGGAGCGAACGCGGGGAAUUGAAACAUCUUAGUACCCGUAGGAAAGGAAAUCGAAGAGACUCCGUUAGUAGUGGCGAGCGAACGCGGACUAGGCCAGUGGCCUUUUGCAAGUAACCGGAACAGUCUGGAAAGUCUGGCAUUAGUGGGUGACAGCCCCGUACGGAUACAGCUUGCAUUGGGUCCUUGAGUAGGGCGGAACACGUGAAAUUCUGUCUGAACAUGGGGCGACCACGCUCCAAGCCUAAGUACUCCCAUACGACCGAUAGCGAACCAGUACCGUGAGGGAAAGGUGAAAAGCACCCCGAUAAGGGGAGUGAAAUAGACCCUGAAACCGGACGUCUACAAUCAGUGGAAGACCGCAAGGUCGACCGCGUACCUUUUGUAUAAUGGGUCAGCGACUUAAUCUGGCAUGCAAGCUUAAGCCGAUAGGUGUAGGCGCAGCGAAAGCGAGUCUUAAAAGGGCGAUUGAGUAUGUCGGAUUAGACCCGAAGCCGAGUGAUCUAGCCAUGGGCAGGUUGAAGGUGCGGUAACACGCUCUGGAGGACCGAACCCGAGAACGUUGAAAAGUUCCGGGAUGACCUGUGGUUAGGGGUGAAAGGCCAAUCAAACUUGGAGAUAGCUCGUUCUCCCCGAAAUAAUUUUAGGAUUAGCGUGUUGUUAAAGUGUAGCGGAGGUAG